rnacentral:rRNA from 1 species
AGAGUUUGAUCAUGGCUCAGGAUGAACGCUGGCGGCGUGCUUAACACAUGCAAGUCGAACGAAGCACUCUAUUUGAUUUUCUUCGGAAAUGAAGAUUUUGUGACUGAGUGGCGGACGGGUGAGUAACGCGUGGGUAACCUGCCUCAUACAGGGGGAUAACAGUUGGAAACGACUGCUAAUACCGCAUAAGCGCACGGUAUCGCAUGGUACAGUGUGAAAAACUCCGGUGGUAUGAGAUGGACCCGCGUCUGAUUAGCCAGUUGGUGGGGUAACGGCCUACCAAAGCAACGAUCAGUAGCCGACCUGAGAGGGUGACCGGCCACAUUGGGACUGAGACACGGCCCAAACUCCUACGGGAGGCAGCAGUGGGGAAUAUUGCACAAUGGGGGAAACCCUGAUGCAGCGACGCCGCGUGAACGAAGAAGUAUUUCGGUAUGUAAAGUUCUAUCAGCAGGGAAGAUAAUGACGGUACCUGACUAAGAAGCACCGGCUAAAUACGUGCCAGCAGCCGCGGUAAUACGUAUGGUGCAAGCGUUAUCCGGAUUUACUGGGUGUAAAGGGAGCGCAGGCGGUGCGGCAAGUCUGAUGUGAAAGCCCGGGGCUCAACCCCGGUACUGCAUUGGAAACUGUCGUACUAGAGUGUCGGAGGGGUAAGUGGAAUUCCUAGUGUAGCGGUGAAAUGCGUAGAUAUUAGGAGGAACACCAGUGGCGAAGGCGGCUUACUGGACGAUAACUGACGCUGAGGCUCGAAAGCGUGGGGAGCAAACAGGAUUAGAUACCCAGGUAGUCCACGCCGUAAACGAUGAAUACUAGGUGUUGGAGAGCAUUGCUCUUCGGUGCCGCAGCACACGCAAUAAGUAUUCCA